CCUAACCCUAGAGACAUUGCUGCCUGGCUACUGUGUCACCUGUGCUAGUGGUUGGCAGAGAGGAGAGAGUCUGUCUGUGCUCAAUGUUCUGAUAUAUGAACAUCUGAAUGACUAUUACCCUAAAAUU